rnacentral:rRNA from 1 species
GUGCCAGCAGCCGCGGUAAUACAGAGGGUGCAAGCGUUAAUCGGAAUUACUGGGCGUAAAGCGCGCGUAGGUGGUUUGUUAAGUUGGAUGUGAAAUCCCCGGGCUCAACCUGGGAACUGCAUUCAAAACUGACUGACUAGAGUAUGGUAGAGGGUGGUGGAAUUUCCUGUGUAGCGGUGAAAUGCGUAGAUAUAGGAAGGAACACCAGUGGCGAAGGCGACCACCUGGACUAAUACUGACACUGAGGUGCGAAAGCGUGGGGAGCAAACAGGAUUAGAUACCCUUGUAGUCC